AUUGAACGCUGGCGGCACGCCUAACACAUGCAAGUCGAACGGCAGCGGGGUUAGUAGCAAUACUAACUGCCGGCGAGUGGCGGACGGGUGAGUAACGCGUAGGAAUCUACCUAAGAGAUGAGGAUAACCUGGGGAAACUCAGGCUAAUACUGAAUACGGCCUUUGGGUUAAAGGUUGCGCAAGCAGCCGCUUUUAGAUGAGCCUGCGUUAGAUUAGCUAGUUGGUGGGGUAAAGGCCUACCAAGGCGACGAUCUAUAGCUGUUCUGAGAGGAAGAUCAGCCACACUGGGACUGAGACACGGCCCAGACUCCUACGGGAGGCAGCAGUGGGGAAUCUUGGACAAUGGGGGCAACCCUGAUCCAGCGAUGCCGCGUGUGUGAAGAAGGCCUUAGGGUUGUAAAGCACUUUAAUGGGGGAGGAGUAGGGCUUGUUGAAUAGACAAGUUUGAGGACGUUACCCCAAGAAUAAGCACCGGCUAACUCUGUGCCAGCCGCCGCAGUAAUAC
rnacentral:rRNA from 1 species